CAUAUCAUAAGCGGAGGAAAGAACCAACAGGGAUUGCCCUAGUAACGGCGAGUGAAGCGGCACAGCUCAGAUUUGAAAUCUCCUCGGCGAGUUCUAAUUUGAAUGUUGGAGCCACUGCUGCGCAAAUANUCUAAACCCCUUGGAACAGGGCGCCAUUGCGGGUGAGAGCCGGUUGCGAUUUCGUGCCUGAAUGGGCAGCCCUUGUGACGAUUCAAGUUCUUUGGGAAUGCAGUUGUAAGGGGGUGCUAAAUUCCAUGUAAGGUUAAUUAUUGGCGAGAGACUGAUAUGGAACAAAUACUGUAAAGGAAAAGUGAAAAGCACUUUGAAAACACAGUGAAACAACACGUGAAAUUGUUGAAAGGGAAGGGUAUUUUGAUCGACAUGAUGAUUGCCCAUCUCGGCUCCUUGUGUGCGCCGCCCUUGGCUUUGCCUGUGCCUCCCUCGGUUUUUGCUGCAUGAGAAUGGGCAGAAAAACGCGGCUCCUCGGUGGCACCCUCCUCCGGGUGGAUGCUUCCUGCGGGGACUGAGGACUGCAACAUCUGUCAAGGAUGCUGGCAUAACGGCAAAAUACCGCCCGUCUUGANNCCCGAGCCCAANUA
rnacentral:rRNA from 1 species